UUAAAAUUUAUAAUUUUAUUGAUAAUUAGUAUUGCAUAAAAUUUUCACCAACCAAAUCUUAUUUGAUAUUAUUAAUAUUAUUUAAAGAAUAUGUACUUAUGUAUUUAUUAUAUAUAUAGCAAGAUUUAUACUUAUUAUUUAUUUUUCUAGUUAAUAAAAGAACACAUAAAAUUAUAUUGAUUUCAUUGAUAUUUUUGUUUAAUAUUUUUUUUUUAAUUGUUCAAUUCCGCAAACUAUAUAUGUUCACCAAUCAACACAAUUCCGCACCGCUAAUUUUGUUAAAACCGCACUUGUCCCGCAAACCGCACGAACUGCACUUGGACCGUACCACACUUAAAUUUUGUCCCGCUAAUAUUACCAAUUUUGCAGUCACCAUUCGGACUCAUAUCUAUUUUUCACCAUUUAAAGUCAAAGCCAGGUCUGAGUGGACUAAAGACAUUUGAUUCCUACAAAUCACGCCCAAGUGACAAAUUACGUGGACUCCCACACGGCUAUACCCAUUCUCAACCACGGGGUUUCCCUUUGCCUAACAGUUUGGAAACUUAGAUGUCUUCUGGUAUAUGUUGAGAUGAUUCCGUGAUAUCAAUGUAACAUGAGAUAUUUACGCCCACAGACACAAUUCAUCUUAUGAAUUACACUUUAAGACACUUUGGUCUUAGUGGACACUUUCUCUUAGUGAAAUGUCUAGCUUAACCCUCACCUCUUAGUGAAAGUGGGUUUCAUGAAUUCUCUAACCAGAACAAUUGGUUUUUCUAACUAGUAAAAAUAAAACAAAUAAUAUAUUUUCAGAUAUUUUUUACUUGAAUUUUGAAAGAGUCUAUCUUUUUUUUUCUUUUUCAUUUUGUAGAUUUCAAGAGACAAACCCUAGUUUUAUCUCUCCCCCGAUUUCUUGUAGAUCUAGAAACUCAAACCUUCGCCAAACCGUAAUCAAGUUUCUAAAAAUCAGAUCCUCUCCGGCGAUAGUUGAUUUCGUCAUUAACCACAGCCAGCCACCGUUGAUUGAGAAAAACCCGCCAUGGAAGAUUCUGCAGAGGACGCCAUAGACCACCGUCUUCCCGUGAGACUCUUCGCAACUGAUUCAUAUAUGAAAAGUUAGUUUAUUGUCUGAUUGUGGUGGUGGAUGCCGCGAUGGUAGAUGUCGUGGUGGCGGAUGUAGAUACGGAGGUAGAAGACGUGAGGAGGAGGAGGUGGUUAUGGAUGUCGUGAUGGUGGAUGCUAUGGUGGUGGAUAUGGAUACAGCUGACGCCUAACCAUGACUUACCCGACCACAACUCACCCAACCACAACAACCCGUCUCAUGUCGCCACACAUGAUACACCUAAUAGACACCUUUUGUUUUGUUCGCAAUGUGCCUUUCAGCUUAUGUCUAUUCAUGUACUUUAAUUCCACGAACUGAGUAUGUGAGGAAGAAGAAUCACUUGGAAGCCACUCCCAUAUCAUUAGCUAAUAUGCUGUACAACACUACCUCCAUCCAGACUAAAGCCUACAAGAUCACACUAGCAUUGUCACCAGACUAAAGCCAACAUCGGCAUCCAUUCACAAACUGGCCACCAGAGCCUUGACGACAACACUCCCGACCACAACAACACUCCCCCUAACCACAAGAGUCCCAUCCACAACACAUCUGACCACCACAACAAUCACACAAACCACGAGAGUCCCAUCCACAAUACACCUGAGAACCCCAAUCCAACCAUCUUCUUUUUGUCCACCACGAACUCCACCCAUUACCAAACACAUCUCCAAAUAUUUAAACUAUAUUCUCAGCCUUAGAUCUUAUGCAUAUAAAUAGAUCUAACGUCCUUAAACAAUUCACUUUUUCCCAUACAGUUACCUUUUUCUUUUAACCUUUAUCAUUUAUUGUGUAACUAAAGACAAACUUAGUUUCUACUUCUUCACUUUACGGUAGCCUUCUUAAAAGAAACACACUCCUCCUUACACAAAAAGCAAGGUUAUUUA